AGUGUCCAGAACCCUCCCAGACAGGGUCCAGGACCAGCCCAUGGUUGUUCUGCACGGAGAGCCCGGGGCUGACGCAGAUUUUCCACAUCAAUAAAGUCCAAGGGUCUGUCAUGAACUGGGUUAGAAGAGACGAGAAGAUUCCCAGGAGACUCAGUCUCAAGCAAUCCUCCCACCUCAGCCUCCCAAGGUGCGUGGACCACAGGUGUGAUCCACUGAACACAGUGGAGUCUCCAGCUCAAAAAAACAAAACAAAGGUUAAGGUACUCUAUCGAAUUACGUCAUUUGACUUAUUUUAUUUUUAUUUUUUAUUUAUUUAUUUUUUUUCUGAGAUGGAGUCUUGCUCUGUCAACCCAGGCUGGAGUGCAGUGGCGCGAUCUCAGCUCACUGCAACUUCCGCCUGCCGGGUUCAUGCCAUUCUCCUGCCUCAGCCUCCCGAGUAGCUGGGACUACAGGCGCCCGCCACCACGCCCGGCUAAUUUUUUGUAUUUUUAGUAGAGACGGGGUUUCACCAUGUUAGCCAGGAUGGUCUCGAUCUCCUGACCUUGUGAUCCACCUGCCUUGGACUCCCAAAGUGCUAGGAUUACAGGCGUGAGCCACCACGCCCAAUUGACGUUUUUUUUUUUUAAAUAAAAUGUUUCACAUAUUUAUUACCGAACCUAGCCAACCAAUGUGUUCGUAACAGAGUCAGA